AAAAAAAAUUAAAAUUUAAAGUUCAUAUAGAAUUUAUGUUGUUUCCAAUAACUAAGAACAUGAUACCUCCCUUAAAAAGCAUUCCAAAUCUUUCUUUUAGAAUGAGUUAGUCAAGUAACAUCUUAGAAGGCCCUAGAAUCAAGGAUUUUGCACGAAACGUGUUCAGUGUGCACAAAAUGUGCUCAACGUCUGGGGGCCUGGGGCCCCAGACCCCCGCCUAAUUUCCUGCCUCCUCCAAAUUGAAGGUUAAUUUACGGCCCUGCAGUGUGCAAUACAUUAUUGACUGACAGAACGUAAUUCAUGAGCUGUGAUCUAAAAAUCUUCCAGACAUUAAUAUAGAUUUGAAUAGAAUUACAUCUAGAUACAUAUUUGAAAUGGAAUAUAUCCUAAGGCACUGUAGUUUUAAAUUGUUUGGAUUAUAUUGCAUUUACAUGUAAUUUAUACAUGCUUGUAAAUGCCACAGAAUGAGAAAUAAUCUAAAUUGGCCUAUUUUCAUAAUGUUCCCAAAAUAGAAGUAUCAUGUAGAUCUAUACAGGAAAUAACAUUUACAAAUCAUGUUUGUUGUUUGUUAUUUGCCAGUUAAGUAUCAUAAUGAUAAUACUAGUAUUUCAUGAUAAGUAAUUAUUAUGCUAAAAUCAAAUACCCUUUUUAUUGUCAACAAAUACAUCACUGGUAGAAAGGUUAUAAAGCUUUUAUCUAGCACAAGUUUCCAUAUUCUACAGGUUUACAUAUGUCAGCAAGUCCUCAAAAGCAGCUUUAGGGGUUCCCAGGAGAUUCUGAUGCUCACUGUUAGACUCUCACUGUUGUCAAAAUCCAACCUUAUUUUCUCUUUUCUCAAAAUUUCAGCUCUCAAAAACUUGUUUGAUUAAUUAUGUCACUCCUGUUUUGUUGAACAUGGUGUUGUCAGCAAUAGGUUCAAGUUCUUCUAUGUCUUGUUGUAGGUGAUUUGUACAGAAGCGAAUGAUGGCCUCUUUUGAAAUUAAGAUUUCAUGCCUUACUCCUACUGGGACUACAACUAACUUUGGACCUGGUCACUCGCAGAUACAGCAUGAAGUGUGCCCUCUUGAUGUACAUGGGGAUGGGAGUGAUACAGAAGGGGGACUAAUUGGAAGAACUGCUACUGCUGGUGGUGGUGCUGGACUGUCUUGAAUCUGUUGCCUAACCGACUUGAUAUUCUUCUGUUUAAUAUGGGAGCAACACACACACUCUGGCAUAUAUUGCACAGAAAAUCAUGAUCAGAUGGUGCCCUCCCUAUCAGAGUGGUGAUCACUGUCCUAUAUUUCUUUGAAAUCCUGGAUCUGUGUUUUGGUUUUACUCUCCAUGGACAGUUGAAACAGAGAAAGAAUUAGGGACCACUCCUUGGCAUAUCUGAAAUAUUUAUGUCAUAUACAUGUAAUUAAAAUAUACAAUUUGGGUUGGAUGAAAAUCUUAUCUUCAUGUUAAAACCCAUUAGCCUAGGUUAUUUUUCCUAAAAUCUAAUUAUAAAUCAAUUAACUUGUUAAUUAAUGCUUGGUGAAUCAAUUAAUAAAUUGUAUUCAAAAACUUGAAAUUAUUUUUUUUCCACUAAUAAACUGAAAAUGUGUAUCUUCAAA